GACGAACGCUGGCGGCGUGCCUAACACAUGCGAGUCGAACGAGGUCCAUCCUUCGGGAGAAGACCUAGUGGCGAACGGGUGAGUAACACGUGAGGAACCUGCCCCGAGGACCGGGAUAACCCUCCGAAAGGAGAGCUAAUACCGGAUACCCCCACCGAGCCGCAUGGUUUGGUGAGGAAAUGGAUUCCGCUUCGGGAGGGCCUCGCGGCCUAUCAGCUAGUUGGUGGGGUAACGGCCCACCAAGGCAUCGACGGGUAGCUGGUCUGAGAGGACGAUCAGCCACACUGGGACUGAGACACGGCCCAGACUCCUACGGGAGGCAGCAGUGGGGAAUCUUGCGCAAUGGGCGAAAGCCUGACGCAGCAACGCCGCGUGGGGGAUGAAGGCUCUCGGGUUGUAAACCCCUUUCAGCAGGGACGAAUCAAGACGGUACCUGCAGAAGAAGCCCCGGCUAACUACGUGCCAGCCGCCGCCGUAAGAC
rnacentral:rRNA from 1 species